rnacentral:rRNA from 1 species
CCUACGGGAGGCAGCAGUAGGGAAUCUUCCACAAUGGGCGAAAGCCUGAUGGAGCAACGCCGCGUGAGUGAUGAAGGCCUUCGGGUUGUAAAACUCUGUCAUUCGGGACGAACCGGAGUCUGAGGAAAUGCAGACUCUCUGACGGUACCGGAGGAGGAAGCCCCGGCUAACUACGUGCCAGCAGCCGCGGUAAUACGUAGGGGGCAAGCGUUGUCCGGAUUCACUGGGCGUAAAGCGCGCGCAGGCGGUGAUGUAAGUCUGAGGUGAAAACCCGAAGCUCAACUUCGGGACUGCCUUGGAUACUGCGUCACUUGAGGAUAGGAGAGGCAAGGGGAAUUCCACGUGUAGCGGUGAAAUGCGUAGAGAUGUGGAGGAACACCUGUGGCGAAGGCGCCUUGCUGGCCUAUUUCUGACGCUGAGGCGCGAAAGCGUGGGGUAGCAAACAGGAUUAGAUACCCUGGUAGUCCACGCUGUAAACGAUGAGUGCUAGGUGUAGGUGGGCUCAUACCCAUCUGUGCCGAAGCUAACGCAUUAAGCNCNCCGCCGUCGGGUAGGUACGGUCGCGAGACGUAGAACGUACGAAGUAGUUAAGUUAGUUACGGCGUUGGAGGACGNGCCGACGGACGACGACGAGGGAGGUAGG